rnacentral:lncRNA from 1 species
GCCCACUCAGAGCCCCCCACUCACCACACACCUGCUAAGUGCUCAGCAGGUGCCCGGAGCCCCUCAGGUGAGAAGGGCUGGGAAGUUGUCCUCUGACCUGUGCCUGCACCUGCCAAGAACAGGGUGGGGGCUGAGCCGCUGGCUGGGAAGAGCAGGGGCGGGAGCCAGGCUGGGGGGCGUCAGGGCCGGGAGGGCCGGGGUGGGGAGCUUGCAGGGUGCUCUGCCUUUUCUUUCAUUUCAUCCCAGGUGUUGGCCUGGGUUUUCUUCUCUGGGCUCCCUGCCUGGCUUUGGUAUCAGGGCAAGGCUCGCCUUGUAUUGAGACCGGAAGUGUUCUCAACUCCGCAAGUUUUGGGAGAUUUUGAGAAUUGGUGUUAAUUUUCCUUUAGAUGUUUGGCAGAAUUCACCAGGGAAGCCAUCUUUGUUGGGGGUUUAACGACUGAUCCAGUCACCUCGCUGGCGAUCGGCCUGGUGGCUCUUCUGUGUUCCUGAUCCCGUCUCGGCAGGUCCUGCGUCCUCUCGGAACUCACCUGUGCCCCCAGGGGACCUGCCCGGGGUCUUGCUCGCAACAGUCUCUGAUGACCUGUGGGUUUCUGCGGCUUCGGCGGUGCACAGCGGAUGUUCACAGAGACGGUAUCCACAACGGCCAACACCUCACAGAAGAAGCAGAGUCUCUGGAACACAUUUUGCAGAUGCAUCUGAAUGUACCCGUAGAAUGGCUUUACGGGCAGUCGUGGGUCCCCCCCCCGCCCCCCCGGCCACCUGUCAAGUUUUGUCUGAUAUAUUCAAUAAUGUGGUAAUAAAAGCCUUUAUCAUACCUCUUUCAGCGUCUUUCUGACAAAUACCCCCGCAGAAAUAUAAGGGCAUAAAGAAUUUGAACAACAUAAUGUGUUUGAUACGUAUUGGAUAUAGAAAUGAAAUAUAUAUAAUGCAUGUGUAUAUAUAUAUAUAUAUAUAUAUAUAUAUACGUACACAAUUUCAACUGUGCCCAAUAAAAUUCCCAUCGUACACA